CCACUUAUCUCUACCUUGGAAUCCAUAUAUUUCCAUAUUACGUUAACUGAAGGGACAUUUCCCAGUUGAUAACAAUUUCGUCCUCUCGUGGAUUCGAACCAGCAGAGACAAGAGGAGAAAUCGGGACUUCAGUGAUGUUACCGACACUUGUGUGGCCGAGUCGGUAACUCACUAAGUCCCGAAAUCUCCUCUGUCCACGCUGGGUUCGAAUUAUUAUCAACCAAACAAUUCCCCUUCAGUUAACAUAAUAUGGAAAUAUAUUGAUUCGGAGGUAGAGCUAAUUGGAUUUUAAAGGGACAUUUGUAGCUUAAUGCAUAUAUGUGUGUGUGUGGCCGAGUCGGUAACUCACUAAGUCCCGAAAUCUUCUCUGUCCAACGCUAGUUCGAAUCCACGAGAGAACGAAAUUAUUAUCAACCUAAAAAUUCCCCUUCGGUUAACAUAAUAUGGAAAUAUAUUAAUUCCGAGGCAGAGCUAAUUGGAUUUUGUAGCUUAAUGCAUAUAUAUAUAUAUAUAUAUAUAUAUAUAUAUAUAUAUAUAUAUAUAUAUAUAUAUAUAUUUAUAUGUGUGUGUGUGUGUGUGUGUGUUUUUGUGUAAAGAGAGAGAGACAGCGAGAGCCCGGCUGAAUGAAGGCCCUGGAAAGAGCAGAGCACAGAGCGCAAAGAGGUACCGUUAUCGCGAUGCAUCUUUUCUGGGAAAGGCAGAGCAGAAUCCUGGCUCUUCCCUUCGUAAUGAAACGCGCUUUGUCAUCUAAUUGGACUAUGAAAGGGCCGGUGAAAAUGCUUCGCGAAUAUGCGAGCAGUAAAUAAUGGCCCGUGAAUGGGUACCUGUCACGACUGAAUCCCCGCCAUUAUAUCAUCAUUACCCUUAUUACAACGAUAUCCCAUUGGAUAUCUUGGUUCAUCCGACAAACUCCGGGACGGAAAAAAUGUUGGCUAUUCAAAAGAGAACACUGGAAGAGGACAACAAAAAAUUGUCUUCUAAGGUAAAGGGAAAUUUGAGAUACGGCUGCUCAUCAUUAGAGCUCAAGUUUCUUUUUUGUGCUUUGGACUGAAAAUGAUAAAAUAGGAAUGACAUCUUUACAAAUAUUUUUCCCGGAAAAAGGUGAAUAUAAAAAGAAUCUUUCAAAGAUUCAUAAUUUUGCAUUGUUACUAAGCACAACUUGAUUUAAUGAAAUGGAAGAGACAAAGAUUUAU